AUACAAAAUUUGAAAAUGUGCAAUCGUAAAUCGUGUAUUUUAGUUUUUUCAACCGUUAUACUAGCUUUUAAUGGAUUACUGUGUCUUUGUUUUUUAUGUGUACCUCCAGGCGAAAAUGAGUUUUACAAACAAUUGAUGACAUAUAUUAUGAUUUUCUUGUGGCCUAAAUAUAAUGUUAUGCUAAUAAUUUUGAUUUGGACUACGCGGAAAUGGAAAUACAUAAUACUGGUUGAAUUAAUUUGUGCUUUGGUAGGGGUGUUGGUAAUAACGUAUUUGGUUCUAAACCAAGUGCAUAUCAUAGACUGGUACGAUUUUCCCGGAUAUAUAAUCUUCGGUCCUGAAAGAGAAGGAGGAGGUGGUGGAGGAGGCGGUCAUAGCCAUUACUAUGGAAAAGGAAGAGGCGGAAGAGGAAGAGGAGGAGGAGGAGG